rnacentral:rRNA from 1 species
GUAACAAGGUUUCCGUAGGUGAACCUGCGGAAGG